UACGGAGGGUGCGAGCGUUGUCCGGAAUCACUGGGCGUAAAGGGCGCGUAGGCGGCCUGAUAAGUAGGGGGUGAAAUCCUGCGGCUUAACCGCAGGGCUGCCUUCUAAACUGUCAGGCUAGAGCACAGUAGAGGCAGGUGGAAUUCCCGGUGUAGCGGUGGAAUGCGUAGAGAUCGGGAAGAACAUCAGUGGCGAAGGCGGCCAUCUGGACGGUGACUGACGCUGAGACGCAAAAGCGUGCGUAGCAAACAGG
rnacentral:rRNA from 1 species